AUUGAACGCUGGCGGCAGGCCUAACACAUGCAAGUCGAGCGAGCGGCGGACGGGUGAGUAAUGUAUGGGGACUGCCCGAUAGAGGGGGAUAACUACUGGAAACGGUAGCUAAUACCGCAUACUAUCGGAUAACCCAUAUGGGAUUGGCUAGUAGGUGGGGUAAUGGCUCACCUAGGCGACGAUCCCUAGCGGGUCUGAGAGGAUGAUCAGCCACACUGGGACGUAGACACGGCCCAGAGUCCUACGGAGGCAGCAGGGGGGAAUAUUGCGCAAUGGGAGAAAGUCUGAUGGAGCCAUGCCGCGUGUAUGAAUGAGGCCCUAGGGUUGUAAAGUACUUUCAGUCGGGAGGCGUUACGGACAGAAGAAGCACCGGCUAACUCCGUGCCAGCCGCCGCGGUAAUAC
rnacentral:rRNA from 1 species